rnacentral:lncRNA from 1 species
AUGCGGUCAUAGUUCAUUAUCAUAUUAGUAAGACCGACCAGUUCAAAAACUCCAUCUGUGUGGGUACUGUGCACAGUAGACAGGAAUCACUACAGGACUGAUCACUAUAACCCAGGAUUUAAAUCAUAACUCCCCAGCAAGAGGGAAUAGUUUAUGCACAGAUAAACCCGUCACAUAACAAACGGAAGGAAUCUGUGCCGUACCGAACCG